UACGUAGGGUGCAAGCGUUGUCCGGAAUCAUUGGGCGUAAAGAGCGCGCAGGCGGUCGAUCAAGUCGCGUGUGAAAGCCCCCGGCUCAACUGGGGAGGGUCACGCGAUACUGAUCGACUCGAAGGCAGGAGAGGGUAGUGGAAUUCCUGGUGUAGCGGUGAAAUGCGUAGAUAUCAGGAGGAACACCGGUGGUGUAGACGGCUUUCUGGACCGUAACUGACGCUGAGACACGAAAGCGUGGGUAGCAAACAGG
rnacentral:rRNA from 1 species